AUCUCUCUCCUGUCCCGAUCACUUGGAGGGAAACAUUCAACAGUGGAAGAUGAGUUUUUGCUGUUUUCCUGCUUUCCGAACUUCUAGCCACAAAAAACACAGGAGUAGGAACAUUGUCAGUUCUUGGUUCAGGUCUCACUGUGGAUGUUUCCAGCUAAUGUUCAGGAGGAGCCAACAAAGCUCCAUGCAGAUCAUCAACGCAUCAUGUGACAACUCUAGAUCCUUGGACCCAGAUUUGGAGCAUGAAAAAGCCAACAGUGGUCAGUGCCUGACAACGAUGCAAAUGAGCACAUGAGGGUCUCUACAGGGUGACAGUGAGUCCUCCCUGAAGGUAUCAGUGACCUGCGAGAUGUGGACUCUUCAGGCAAGACACUGGGAGAAGUUGGUUCUUGGUACCAUCCAUCUCAAUUAGAC